GACGAACGCUGGCGGCGUGCCUAAUACAUGCAAGUAGAACGCUGAAGGAGGAGCUUGCUUCUCUGGAUGAGUUGCGAACGGGUGAGUAACGCGUAGGUAACCUGCCUGGUAGCGGGGGAUAACUAUUGGAAACGAUAGCUAAUACCGCAUAAGAGUAGAUGUUGCAUGACAUUUGCUUAAAAGGUGCAAUUGCCUCACUACCAGAUGGACCUGCGUUGUAUUAGCUAGUUGGUGGGGUAACGGCUCACCAAGGCGAAGUAACAUAGCCGACCUGAGAGGGGGAUCGGCCACACUGGGACUGAGACACGGCCCAGACUCCUACGGGAGGCAGCAGUAGGGAAUCUUCGGCAAGGGACGGAAGUCUGACCGAGCAACGCCGCGUGAGUGAAGAAGGUUGUCGGAUCGUAAAGCUCUGUUGUAAGAGAAGAACGAGUGUGAGAGUGGAAAGUUCACACUGUGACGGUAUCUUACCAGAAAGGGACGGCUAACUACGUG
rnacentral:rRNA from 1 species